AAUAAUCGGGCAGCGAGAGAUUCAGCUUGACUACAUUUUCCCCACGGGGAUAAACCACCAAAUAAUAUUCUAAAUAAUUCAAAAUCUAUUUUAUAUGCUUCAUAAGGAGGCUGUGUUGGAUCAUAACGAUCAGGAGUAGCACUAUCAACUGGUCUAGGAAGUAUAAGUCCCUCAUCAUUGUAUACACCUCCAAGAUAAUCUGUUAAUAACUGCAUUGCUUCACCAUCGUCACGGCAAUUUAAUAAUUUAUCUUGGUUCCACUCCAGUACUGUCAAUGCUAUCUGACACAGGAAGAAAGACCUGUUUACUUCAAAUUUCUUCUGUACGUAAUUUAUUCUGUAUUUAUUAGAAAGAAUGUCAAUAAAAUUCAAUAUUUUGACUAAUAAAAAAUAAUUAAGGAGCUAAAAAUAAAA